rnacentral:rRNA from 1 species
GACGAACGCUGGCGGCGUGCCUAAUACAUGCAAGUCGAACGAACUCUGGUAUUGAUUGGUGCUUGCAUCAUGAUUUACAUUUGAGUGAGUGGCGAACUGGUGAGUAACACGUGGGAAACCUGCCCAGAAGCGGGGGAUAACACCUGGAAACAGAUGCUAAUACCGCAUAACAACUUGGACCGCAUGGUCCGAGUUUGAAAGAUGGCUUCGGCUAUCACUUUUGGAUGGUCCCGCGGCGUAUUAGCUAGAUGGUGGGGUAACGGCUCACCAUGGCAAUGAUACGUAGCCGACCUGAGAGGGUAAUCGGCCACAUUGGGACUGAGACACGGCCCAAACUCCUACGGGAGGCAGCAGUAGGGAAUCUUCCACAAUGGACGAAAGUCUGAUGGAGCAACGCCGCGUGAGUGAAGAAGGGUUUCGGCUCGUAAAACUCUGUUGUUAAAGAAGAACAUAUCUGAGAGUAACUGUUCAGGUAUUGACGGUAUUUAACCAGAAAGCCACGGCUAACUACGUGCCAGCAGCCGCGGUAAUACGUAGGUGGCAAGCGUUGUCCGGAUUUAUUGGGCGUAAAGCGAGCGCAGGCGGUUUUUUAAGUCUGAUGUGAAAGCCUUCGGCUCAACCGAAGAAGUGCAUCGGAAACUGGGAAACUUGAGUGCAGAAGAGGACAGUGGAACUCCAUGUGUAGCGGUGAAAUGCGUAGAUAUAUGGAAGAACACCAGUGGCGAAGGCGGCUGUCUGGUCUGUAACUGACGCUGAGGCUCGAAAGUAUGGGUAGCAAACAGGAUUAGAUACCCUGGUAGUCCAUACCGUAAACGAUGAAUGCUAAGUGUUGGAGGGUUUCCGCCCUUCAGUGCUGCAGCUAACGCAUUAAGCAUUCCGCCUGGGGAGUACGGCCGCAAGGCUGAAACUCAAAGGAAUUGACGGGGGCCCGCACAAGCGGUGGAGCAUGUGGUUUAAUUCGAAGCUACGCGAAGAACCUUACCAGGUCUUGACAUACUAUGCAAAUCUAAGAGAUUAGACGUUCCCUUCGGGGACAUGGAUACAGGUGGUGCAUGGUUGUCGUCAGCUCGUGUCGUGAGAUGUUGGGUUAAGUCCCGCAACGAGCGCAACCCUUAUUAUCAGUUGCCAGCAUUAAGUUGGGCACUCUGGUGAGACUGCCGGUGACAAACCGGAGGAAGGUGGGGAUGACGUCAAAUCACCAUGCCCCUUAUGACCUGGGCUACACACGUGCUACAAUGGAUGGUACAACGAGUUGCGAACUCGCGAGAGUAAGCUAAUCUCUUAAAGCCAUUCUCAGUUCGGAUUGUAGGCUGCAACUCGCCUACAUGAAGUCGGAAUCGCUAGUAAUCGCGGAUCAGCAUGCCGCGGUGAAUACGUUCCCGGGCCUUGUACACACCGCCCGUCACACCAUGAGAGUUUGUAACACCCAAAGUCGGUGGGGUAACCUUUUAGGAACCAGCCGCCUAAGGUGGGACAGAUGAUUAGGGUG